GCUCGCUCUCUCCGCUGUAUUCGGAUCGAGCGCUAGCUACCGGCGACUCGAAGCGGAGGUACGGCACGAUCCAUUGGGGAUCGAGCAACCACGCCGGCGGCAACAUCCAUCGCAACACGGCGUUCCCAGGCGGCGCCGGCCCUUGUGGCGACGGUAUCACGGCAUCGAUCCAUCGGCUCUUCCUAUCUAGCCGUCUGCCCAUGCGAGACACAUCUACCGUGGGCAUAGAUGGUGCUGACAACAGAACACUCCAGCAUGUAUGGUCGUCUGGCGACGGUGCUGAGUCCAUGAUUCCGUUGAUCCAGUAA
rnacentral:lncRNA from 1 species